rfam:Zootermopsis nevadensis contig33897, whole genome shotgun sequence.
GCCACGGUGGUCUAGCGGUUAGGACGCUGGCCUUGUAAUCCUGGGGUCUCGGGUUCGAUUCCCGGUGGUGCCC